CGAGUUGGCAGGGCGGCCGCGACCUGAGUGGUCGAGGAAAGUCCGGACUCCGUAGGGCAGGGUGGUUGCUAACGGCAACCCGGGGUGACCCGCGGGACAGUGCCACAGAAAACAGACCGCCUCGCGGCAACGCGGGGUAAGGGUGAAACGGUGGUGUAAGAGACCACCAGCGUCCCGGGCGACCGGGACGGCUCGGUAAACCCCACCCGGAGCAAGGCCAAGAGGGAGCUCAGGCUCCUGCGCAGGCGUUCGAGGGUAGCCCGCCCGAUGCCUGCGGGUAGGCCGCUGGAGCCUGCCGGCAACGGCAGGCCGAGAUGGAUGGCCGCCGCCCGCGUACGCGGGGACAGAAUCCGGCUUACAUGCCAACUCGUCCA
rnacentral:RNase_P_RNA from 1 species